GCCUACAUAGCUCAGUCGGUUAGAGCACCUGACUGUUAAUCAGGGGGUCCUAGGUUCGAGUCCUAGUGUGGGCGCCA
rnacentral:tRNA from 4 species